rnacentral:rRNA from 1 species
GACGAACCGUGCGAACGUUAUUCGGAAUCACUGGGCUUAAAGCGCGUGUAGGCGGGCCUGCGCGUCGGUCGCUGAAAGCCCCCGGCUCAACCGGGGAAGCGGCGCCGAUACGGCCGGCCUGGAGGGGGGUAGGGGGACCUGGAACUUCCGGUGGAGCGGUGAAAUGCGUUGAGAUCGGAAGGAACGCCCGUGGCGAAAGCGAGGUCCUGGACCCUUUCUGACGCUGAGACGCGAAAGCCAGGGGAGCGAACGGG